rnacentral:piRNA from 7 species
GGGGGUAUAGCUCAGUGGUAGAGCAUUU